GGGCCUGUUAUUCCCUUCUAAAUUUACACAAUGAAGUGCAGUACAUGCCAUUAGUUCCACUGCCUCUGCUUCUUUAACAAGUUUUGGUGGACCAAUCCUGUUGUCCAAAACCUUGACCAAUUCAUUGGCUAAAAUUUUAGGUACUGCAAAAUCCACUAGACUUGUUAUUGCACCUCCAUUGUCUUCAUCCUUGAACACAGCUCUCUUGCCUGUCAAAAGUUCUAGUAAUACUACACCAAGACUAUACACAUCACUUUUUGUGGUUAAUACAUUUCGACUAUAGAAUUCAGGAUCUAUG
rnacentral:misc_RNA from 1 species